AUUUAUAUAGAUUAAAAAAAUCAUUAUAUUUUCAAUAUAAAAUUAAGAAUAUUUUCUUUAUAAAUU
rnacentral:tRNA from 1 species